UACGGGGGGGGCAAGCGUUGUUCGGAAUUACUGGGCGUAAAGGGCUCGUAGGUGGCCAACUAAGUCAGACGUGAAAUCCCUCAGCUUAACUGGGGAACUGCGUCUGAUACUGGAUGGCUUGAGUUUGGGAGAGGGAUGCGGAAUUCCAGGUGUAGCGGUGAAAUGCGUAGAGAUCAGGAGGAACACCAGAGGCGCAGGCGGCUUGCUGGGUCUGUAUUGACGCUCAGACACGAAAGCAUGGGGAGCGAACGGG
rnacentral:rRNA from 1 species